AAUGGCAGAUUAGUGCAAUAGAUUUAAAUCCUAUAUAUAUAAAUUUUAUUUAUUUUUAGAA
rnacentral:tRNA from 1 species